rnacentral:rRNA from 1 species
UACGUAGGGUGCAAGCGUUGUCCGGAAUUAUUGGGCGUAAAGAGCUCGUAGGCGGUUUGUCGCGUCUGCUGUGAAAACGCGAGGCUCAACCUCGCGCCUGCAGUGGGUACGGGCAGACUAGAGUGCGGUAGGGGAGAUUGGAAUUCCUGGUGUAGCGGUGGAAUGCGCAGAUAUCAGGAGGAACACCGGUGGCGAAGGCGGGUCUCUGGGCCGAUACUGACACUGAGGAGCGAAAGCGUGGGGAGCGAACAGG